GUUUUUGAGGAUGACCUGCUCUAGGCAGAUUUGCAGCUGUGCCAUAUUCUUUCUGUUUCUUGAUGAUUGUGCACUGUACUCCAAGGGAUAUUCAGAGACUGUGAAAUUUUCCUGUAUCCAUCUCCUGACUUGUGCUUUUUAAUAACCUUUUCACAGAUUUGCUUGGAGUGUCUUCAUGGUGUAGUUUUUGGCAGGAUAGUAACUCACCAGCAGUUAGAGGUAUUAUUACGAUCAAUUGAAACACCUCGACUGCACACAGGUCUCCAAAAACAGAUCUCCAUUUAACUAAUUGCUACUUCUAAAACUAACUGGCUGCACCUGUGAUGAUUUGGCGUGUCAUAUUAAAGGAAGGACCUGAUUACACUGGACAAACUGCAGGGGAGAUUUACCAGGAUUUGCAUGGAAUGGAGCCCUUCAGUUACAAGGAGGAACAAGAAAGACAGCCACGAAACAAAGAAACACCUUAGAACCCGCUCAAGAAAACAACAAACACCAAAUGCGCAAAAAGAAAGAACAAUUUGUGCAAGUGGCAAAAACCAAGCGAAGAACACAGAAUAUAAAACAUCCAGACACAUUGAAGCGGUCUAGGAAUGUUCAGUUUAGUUCAGUCCAGUCUAAUUUAACUCCGUGUCGCUCGUUGACUGUAGGCUGCAAAGCCAGUACCCCCCAAUCAAAAUCGCACAAAACAGCAAUAAAAAAAAGGAGUAACCAGAAACCAGAAACACAUACAACAUGAACUGCAAUCCACAAACCAUACAGAAUGUGGUGGGAAUCUGGAACGCAAGGCCUGACUGGGUGGUGAAACCAAGUACCGUUGCAACGGUUAACAACGAUCUACAUGCAGUGUAUGUUUGAGUAUGUAUUGCUGUUGUAGCCCAUCCACUUCAAGGCUGGACGUAUUGUGUGA